rnacentral:rRNA from 1 species
AUACGGAGGGUGCAAGCGUUAUCCGGAAUCAUUGGGUUUAAAGGGUCCGCAGGCGGACUAAUAAGUCAGUGGUGAAAUCCUCUCGCUUAACGAGAGAACUGCCAUUGAAACUGUUAGUCUUGAAUUCGGUCGAAGUAGGCGGAAUGUGUCAUGUAGCGGUGAAAUGCAUAGAUAUGACACAGAACACCGAUAGCGAAGGCAGCUUACUAGACCUGGAUUGACGCUCAUGGACGAGAGCGUGGGGAGCGAACAGGAUUAGAAACCCCAGUAGUCC